GGCGGGAUAGCUCAGCCGGUUAGAGCGCACGCUUCAUAAGCGUGAGGUCGAGAGUUCGAGUCUCUCUCCCGCUACCA
rnacentral:tRNA from 1 species